CACGGGGGGAGCAAGCGUUGUUCGGAAUCACUGGGCGUAAAGGGCGUGUAGGCGGUCAAGUAAGUGGAAUGUGAAAUCCCCCGGCUUACCCGGGGACCGGCAUCCCAUACUGCUUGGCUUGAGUACGGGAGAGGAUGUGGGAAUUCCUGGUGUAGCGGUGAAAUGCGUAGAUAUCAGGAGGAACACCGGUGGCGAAGGCGGGUCUCUGGGCAGUAACUGACGCUGAGGAGCGAAAGCGUGGGGAGCGAACAGG
rnacentral:rRNA from 1 species